rnacentral:rRNA from 1 species
UGGCGGACGGGUGAGUAACGCGUGAGAAUCUGCCUUCAGGUUGGGGACAACCACUGGAAACGGUGGCUAAUACCGAAUAAGCCAAACGGUGAAAGAUUUAUUGCCUGAAGAUGAGCUCGCGUCUGAUUAGCUAGUUGGUAGGGUAAUGGCCUACCAAGGCGUCGAUCAGUAACUGGUCUGAGAGGAUGAUCAGUCACACUGGGACUGAGACACGGCCCAGACUCCUACGGGAGGCAGCAGUGGGGAAUUUUCCGCAAUGGGCGAAAGCCUGACGGAGCAAUACCGCGUGAGGGAGGAAGGCUCUUGGGUCGUAAACCUCUUUUCUCAGGGAAGAACAAAAUGACGGUACCUGAGGAAUCAGCAUCGGCUAACUCCGUGCCAGCAGCCGCGGUAAUACGGAGGAUGCAAGCGUUAUCCGGAAUGAUUGGGCGUAAAGCGCCCGCAGGUGGCAGUGCAAGUCUGCUGUCAAAGGUCAGGGCUUAACCCUGAACAGGCGGUGGAAACUGCACAGCUAGAGUGCGGUGGGGGCAGAGGGAAUUCCUGGUGUAGCGGCGAAAUGCGUAGAGAUCAGGAAGAACACCGGUGGCGAAAGCGCUCUGCUUGGCCGCAACUGACACUCAUGGACGAAAGCUAGGGGAGCGAAUGGGAUUAGAUACCCCAGUAGUCCUAGCCGUAAACGAUGGAUACUAGGCGUAGCUCGUAUCGACCCGAGCUGUGCCGUAGCUAACGCGUUAAGUAUCCCGCCUGGGGAGUACGCGCGCAAGCGUGAAACUCAAAGGAAUUGACGGGGGCCCGCACAAGCGGCGGAGUAUGUGGUUUAAUUCGAUGCAACGCGAAGAACCUUACCAGGGCUUGACAUGUCGCGAAUCCUGAUGAAAGUCAGGAGUGCCUUCGGGAGCGCGAACACAGGUGGUGCAUGG